AUAAGGUCUCACAUCCAGAUCGUGGCGCAGUUCACUUCACAAGUCUCCGUGUCUCCAGGAUCUCUGCUCCGUCUGACUGGUCCACAGGAAGAAAUAUGUCUGGUGUGGAUGAAGAGGAGGACAGAUCAGGUGUGGACAGGUUGUCUCUGAAGAGUAAUCGGUCCAAAGGUCGUCCCCCAGCCUUAAGUGUUGAACCUGGACCUUCAGACACAAAGCAUCAGCACCUCAGACACACAGCAGAGUCUUCAGGUUCCAGCAGGUUGUCUCUGAACAGUGACUGGUCCAAAGGUCUUCCACUAAACUUCAGUGUUGACCCUGGACCUUUAGACGCAAAGCAUCAGCACCUCAGACACACAGCAGAGUCUUCAGGUUCCAGCAGGUUGUCUCUGAACAGUGACUGGUCCAAAGGUCUUCCACUAAACUUCAGUGUUGACCCUGGACCUUUAGACGCAAAAGAGAAGAGGACUGAUGUCUGUGAGGAGCAGCCAGAAAGAUCCAGAAGUAAGAGUGG